CUAAAUCAGGACCCAAAUAAAAUAACAAAAACAAAAAAACUAGUAAACAAAAAAGGAAAUUGAAGAGCCACUCUUCUAAUUUAUUAAACUUCAAUUUAUUCCAUCUUCUUCUUCUCUAAUCAAUCCAAGUUGUUGGCUAUUGAGAUCUCUUAACCCAAAAGCAACAACUGAAAGGAGAUAUAAGUUGGAGCUUGGUCGAAUUUCACUUAGUCUCUCAAAGCCCUCACGAAUGUCAUGAAGUCGAUACCAAAGAAGACUUCUUCAGCUCCAUUUAUCUCCAUUUUCGAUCAACUUCACGGUUGAACCCUAAGAAGGUUGAUACCAUUGCUAAAGGUCCAGAUCUAGAGGAAUUUGGUCUCGGGAGUCCAGAAUUGAGUUGUAUACAUCAGUAUAGAUAUAAUAUAUAGUACUCCAUUCGUUUCAAAAAGAAUUAUCUAAUUUGACUUAGUACGGAGUUUAAGAAAAGAAAGAAGGUCUUUUAAUUUUGUGAUUUUAAAUUAAAGCUAUGUCAAAUGUACAAAAAUGUUCUUUAAUCUUAUGGCCUAAAACAUGUCACGUGAAAAGUUAAAGUUAAAAUUUUGCUAAAAAAAGUUAUUUUGUU